rnacentral:rRNA from 1 species
UACGGAGGAUGCGAGCGUUAUCCGGAUUUAUUGGGUUUAAAGGGUGCGUAGGCGGAGUGCCAAGUCAGCGGUAAAAAUUCGGGGCUCAACCCUGUCGUGCCGUUGAAACUGGCGCCCUUGAGUGGGCGAGAAGUAUGCGGAAUGCGUGGUGUAGCGGUGAAAUGCAUAGAUAUCACGCAGAACCCCGAUUGCGAAGGCAGCAUACCGGCGCCCGACUGACGCUGAAGCACGAAAGCGUGGGUAUCGAACAGG